AUACGUACCUUGUGCCGGGCGGUCGCUGAUCAUUGAGGGCGCCCCCAGGAUGAGGCCUCGUGCUGAAUCCCGCCAUUCCCAAAAUUUGGGUUGUGGGGCACGAAAUUUUUGGUAGUGGGGGAGAGGACGCUCCUCUCCCCCU
rnacentral:snRNA from 1 species